rnacentral:RNase_P_RNA from 1 species
CUCGCAGGUCGCCUUAUCGCUCCGCUUUGCGGGGAGGAAAGUCCGGACACCAUAGGGCAGCAUAGCGGGUAACGCCCGUCACCACGUUUAGGCGUGGGAGGACAAGUGCAACAGAAAGGAUGUACAGGUAAUGCUGUAGUGAAAUCAGGUAAACUCUAUGUGGUGCAAUGCCAAGUAAACCGGUUGUUAAGGGCUGCCCGCCCAAUGCCGGAGGGUAGGCAGAUAGAGCGUAACAGUAAUGUUGCGCCCAGAUAAAUGAUAAGGGUUUCUUUUAGAAAUACAGAAUCCGGCUUACAGACCUGCUUUAUUU